rnacentral:rRNA from 1 species
GACGAACGCUGGCGGCGUGCUUAACACAUGCAAGUCGAACGGAAAGGCCCUGCUUGCAGGGUACUCGAGUGGCGAACGGGUGAGUAACACGUGGGUGAUCUGCCCUGCACUUCGGGAUAAGCCUGGGAAACUGGGUCUAAUACCGGAUAGGAGCCAUUUUUAGUGUGAUGGUUGGAAAGUUUUUUCGGUGUAGGAUGAGCUCGCGGCCUAUCAGCUUGUUGGUGGGGUAAUGGCCUACCAAGGCGGCGACGGGUAGCCGGCCUGAGAGGGUGGACGGCCACAUUGGGACUGAGAUACGGCUCAGACUCCUACGGGAGGCAGCAGUGGGGAAUAUUGCACAAUGGGCGCAAGCCUGAUGCAGCGACGCCGCGUGGGGGAUGACGGCCUUCGGGUUGUAAACUCCUUUCGCUAGGGACGAAGCUUUUUGUGACGGUACCUAGAGAAGAAGCACCGGCUAACUACGUG